rnacentral:rRNA from 1 species
GACGAACGCUGGCGGCGUGCUUAACACAUGCAAGUCGAACGGAAAGGCCCUGCUUUUGUGGGGUGCUCGAGUGGCGAACGGGUGAGUAACACGUGAGUAACCUGCCCUUGACUUUGGGAUAACUUCAGGAAACUGGGGCUAAUACCGGAUAGGAGCUCCUGCUGCAUGGUGGGGGUUGGAAAGUUUCGGCGGUUGGUGAUGGACUCGCGGCUUAUCAGCUUGUUGGUGGAGUAGUGGCUUACCAAGGCUUUGACGGGUAGCCGGCCUGAGAGGGUGACCGGCCGCAUGGGGACUGAGAUACGGCCCAGACUGCUACGGGAGGCAGCAGUGGGGAGUAUUGCACAAUGGGAGGAAGCCUGAUGCAGCAACGCCGCGUGCGGAAUGACGGCCUUCGGGUUGUAAACCGCUUUCGCCUAUGACGAAGCGUGAGUGACGGUAAUGGGUAAAGAAGCACCGGCUAACUUCGUG